AUAUACAGGGGGAGACUCUCAU
rnacentral:miRNA from 1 species